rnacentral:lncRNA from 1 species
CCAUAGUCAGACCCUAUGCUUCUACAUGUUGAUUGAGUAUGUUGAUGUAUUGACGUGAACUUGUUGUAGCUUGUGGCGAGUGUAAGCCAAUUCCAUAUCCACACCUCUUUAGUACAUGUACUUGUAACGAUAUCUAUUCUUGAAAAAGGACGACAUGUGCUUCUAUCCACAUCGAGGCCCUCGUGCCAAAAAUAAGGAUAGAAUUGCAUCUUGGGUGUGACAUCAAGUUGUCGGUAUUCUAGGAAUGGGGGUACCCUGAUCUGCCUGCCUGUGGCAGACAAGCACAAUUGGGCACCUCGCGAGGGGGAGCAGCAUCAAGACCCGCAGGGGGGCUCGCCAGGACUCCUCCGGAGUGGUGGAU